rnacentral:rRNA from 1 species
UAGUAACUGCGAGUGAAGCGGGAAAAGCUCAAAUUUAAAAUCUGGCGGUCUUUGGCCGUCCGAGUUGUAGUCUGGAGAAGUGCUUUCCGCGCUGGACCGUGUACAAGUCUCUUGGAACAGAGCGUCAUAGAGGGUGAGAAUCCCGUCUUUGACACGGACUACCAGUGCUUUGUGAUGCGCUCUCAAAGAGUCGAGUUGUUUGGGAAUGCAGCUCAAAAUGGGUGGUAAAUUCCAUCUAAAGCUAAAUAUUGGCGAGAGACCGAUAGCGAACAAGUACCGUGAGGGAAAGAUGAAAAGCACUUUGGAAAGAGAGUUAAACAGUACGUGAAAUUGCUGAAAGGGAAACGCUUGAAGUCAGUCGCGUUGGCCAGGACUCAGCCUUGCUUUUGCUUGGUGCACUUUCUGGUUGACGGGCCAGCAUCGAUUUUGACCGCUGGAAAAAGGUUGGGGGAAUGUGGCACCUUCGGGUGUGUUAUAGCCCUCAGUCACAUACGGUGGCUGGGAUCGAGGACCGCAGCACGCCUUUAUGGCCGGGGUUCGCCCACGUUCGUGCUUAGGAUGCUGGCGUAAUGGCUUUAAACGACCCGUCUUGAAACACGGACCAAGGAGUCUAACAUGCCUGCGAGUGUUUGGGUGGAAAACCCGAGCGCGUAAUGAAAGUGAAAGUUGAGAUCCCUGUCGUGGGGAGCAUCGACGCCCGGACCUGAACUUCGGUGAUGGCUCUGCGGUAGAGCAUGUAUGUUGGGACCCGAAAGAUGGUGAACUAUGCCUGAAUAGGGUGAAGCCAGAGGAAACUCUGGUGGAGGCUCGUAGCGAUUCUGACGUGCAAAUCGAUCGUCAAAUUUGGGUAUAGGGGCGAAAGACUAAUCGA